GGUUGCGGUUGGACUUGAUGACCUUGAAGGUCUUUUCCAACCUGAGCAAUUCUAUGAUUCUAUGAUUCUAUUAGUGAACUGUAUGUAUGGAAAAUGGCUAUAAAAUGUUGAAAAUGAAAUUUAAUAAACAUAGAUAGGAAAUUGUAAACAAGAAUUCUCAUUUGGAAAGUUAACCACUUGAAAGAAGAAAAGCUAUUUUACCCGGUAACUUGCACGGAUGGAAUAUCCCAGCUUUUGGAAACACGGCAUAGACAAACUGAGCUUCUACAUCUUUUCUACUCCCAUGUGUCUGAUUGCUGGCACUGUAAAAAUUAAUCUGCAAGAAUUUUGAUUUAUUUGUAUGCAAGAAUAAUAAAGCAGAUCUACAAAUGACGCUUAAACACCCACUAUGGGCUAUCUAUCACAUUGAUAUCAAGGGAUAGGAGAAAAACCUGGGAACUGGGCAAACAACAACAUCAGAAGUAGACUUCCAACAGCAAAAGUAGACUUCUACAUGCAUAAAACACGGGAAUAACAAUUCUGUUAUCUUUCUCUCUCUCUCUGUCUCUCUCUCUUUUUUUUUUUCUUAAUAUUUGUGUUAUCUAUUAAUGUAUACCACAGAGUAAAAUUUUUGACCACUGCCAUCAACUUCACACCUCUGCCAUCUCCUUAUCUGCAUUACCAGUUCUCCUUUUUCAAGAGAGGAUCUAAGCAACCAAUUUGUGUUCUUUUUUAUUUCAUCCACUCUCCCACUUUUCCCUGUCCUGACAGUUCUUACCAUGUUUUCAUUUUACCCCUCCUCUUUACCAGCAACAGAAUAUUUUUCUAUUUGCUUUUUUCCCUUGUUCUUCACUUUUCUUUCUUUGUGGUAAUCCCAACAUACAUAGAAAGAUGUCUGUCCCAUCCAUAUAUUUGAAAACCCUACACUUAAUUUCAUUUUGCUUUGUGAUGUCUUUGUCUUCCCCUUGAACCUAACUUCUAAAAUAGAGUAACGCGCUGCCUGCAGGAAUUACCUCAGAUGGUUUCCUGCCAGCUUCACCUUUUCUCAAAUCUUCUUCAGUUUCUUCUAUGUAUGCUCCACUCAGCUGUUCUGAGGUCACUAUUAAUGGUGUGACCAAAUCUCAGGACUUCUUGCCUGCAGCAUUAUUGAUCCUACUGUAACUCUGAAAUCUUGUCCUGUCUUAAUGGAAUCUUUUCUCAUUUUCUUUUCCAAAUCAGUGCCAAUUCUUUAAUCUUUCCUUCAGCAGUGGAUCUCCAGCCAAGCUUCCUCUUUCAAAAAAAUCUCACCAGGCUCUAUUUUACCUCCAUUCAACUAUUUGUGCAUUUUCUCAGGUGAUUUCUUCUGAUUACAUCAACUCAAUCCUCACCUCUACAAUACAAAUCCUUGCUUUCCAAUAAAUACACCUGGUUCCCUUUGAGACUGAAAUGUUGAAGUCAAGAUGACCUUCCUGAACUCUUGCUAUGAUUUUAUCAGCAAUUUUAUCAGCCUGUGUUUGCAUCUUUUCCUGGCAUUCCUGUGACUUUGAAUACUUUGAAUACAAAUCAAAGCCAUAGAAAGUAGGGCCAUCCAUUGGACACCCAUUUGUAAUCUUAUCUUGUAUUUCACGGUGCAGUUCUUUGCUCUGAGCUGGUCAUGCCAUUUUCAGUUGCCCAUGCAUCCUCUCAGAAAGUGCUGUCAUUCAUUUUUUUUCAGGUUUUCUUCCAGCAAACUAUACCCAAAACAGACCGCAAAAAAAACUUCUCAGCUUUCCUUCAAAGUUAUCUCAAAUCCUACCACUUUUACACAUUCAGGAAAACAAGAAUUGGUAUUGACCUGGGACAACUUCACUAGGGUAUACAUUUUUUAACAUAUUUGUAGCUUUAUAAAUAUGUUCUGUGCUAUAUUUUGCCUAUAGAAAUCUAGUCUAUACUAAAUAUACACUCAACUUCAUUCUUGCUUCCUUCUUGUUUUUCUUCAGUUUCCCUUAUAAAUAUUUUAAUCUCCUCUGCUUUAAGAAUUGCACUUUUGGUUGUGUACAGUAACCAUCACAAAACCCUAUAACACAACAUAUAAUAAUAAUAAUAACUUUUUUAGCUGUACUCCCAAGACAUGGCUGAGAUUUCCAAAAACAUCUACUCUUCUCAGAGACCUGUAGUAGCAUACACAAGGGUCAGCACCAAAUGAUGCAGUGGUAAAAAGUGAAUUAAACUCAAACAUGUCUGACAAUUUGAGGCAUUAACACUGUGGCAUGCCAGCUCAUCUCAUUACAUUGAAAUAAUAUAAAAAUAUAGUGAGAAAUGAAAAUGUAUGCAGUAUUGCACAACUCAGCCCAGUCAAUCCAAUCAGGCAUUCACCCUGAUUCUCGGGAUAUUGAGACAGACAGAUUCACACUGCUGCCAGCUAGAGCUCUAUGUAUCAGGAGAAUAAGAGGAUAUGGAGGGGCACUUAAGUUCUGUCUGUGUACGGUGCUAGACAUAAUAGUAUCAUGAUUAAUCACUUGGUCACUCAGCUGCUAUGACAGUAAACAGGAAAAAGAGUUCAAUUCAAGAAAGCUGGGGAAUAUUUUGAAUUUAGUUUCUUAAAGGUGUGACAAUCCCACCCAGGUCAUGCCAGAAUCAGCCUGUUCUAAUUUUGUGUAAAACCAGUAACACAAGCCCACUGAAUUGCAUAAUUUAUAAAUCACUUCAAGAGAGUUUGGUGUGAAAGGUGAUAUGAAAGUGGAAGUUGUUAACCACCACUGCAGCUGGCUGAGCGUCUUGUUUAUUCUCUAGCCAUAUUCUGCGUCAGGAGCCUGUACCACAACUAAUUAGUCGUAAUGCUUUAUAAUUGUAUAAACAGAAUAUAUAAUAGAUCUGUAUGAUAUAUAAUUAAUUUUGCCCUUAAGGAAGGCUUUUGGAAGUCAAACCAUGAGCUCUUUGAGAAUUGCCUCUUUAUGCUCUCGCUGACAAGGCAUAUAUCCCUGCUGGCAGAGCUCGGCGAACCUUCCAGAAAACAAUUUCAUUAGGCAUGACCAGGUGUUUUUUUGCAGGAGUGUGUGCUUGCAGACACAACUCUGACACCGAGGUGGCUGCAGCUGUGGCUGUGCCUGCCUUUGUGCAGCCAGUAGUGAGGAGUGGGGCUUUUGCACAGUGGUCAGUUUUAAAAAAAGCUAACCUACUGUUGUCAUAGAGGAGCUAUUUAUUUAGGCUUGUGUUUUGUUGUCCUUAUUUUUUAUUAAAUUAUUUUUAUUUUUAUGUGUGUGUGUAGUAAAUUCCAGGUUUAGCUCCAUUUCUGCUAUUGCAAAUACUACCUCAAAAGCCCAAACAAAUAAAGAUAAAUAUUUUUUUCCUGGAUUAUGAUGCAUGAGUAAGUGUAACCCAGCGUGGCUGGAAAAAUCACUGCCCUGCCUGAUAGAUUUGCUUAUCCUUCCCACUGGAAAAAAAAAAGACACACAAGACUUCAGGAGUCCUGCCAGAUCAGACACCUGAUCUCAUCUUAGAUGACGGCCAGUUUCCUUAAAGUGACAAAGCAGGCAGCAUCCAUCUCUAAGAUGUGUUCAAGCAGAGGAGCAAAGUACCGCAUUGUCUAGACGUGGGGACCAGGGCUGUGUGAAGACCAGGCUGCAGCUGGCAGCAGUAUUCUAACAGAGCUGAGCUGGUCUGCUGAGAGAUUUCAUCAGUCCUUGUCUUCAGCCAAAGCUUCUCAUUGCGAGAUGCUGAUCAGAGCCAGCAGCCGUGCAAGCAGCCCAAGCUUGGGAACUCCCAUCUGCCUGGUACUCUGCAGACAUUCUGGUCAGAGACAACUUCACAUCGCACUCCAUAGGAAUGAUAAUCACAACCUUCCUGAGGCCUGACAUGCCAUGAGCAGGGUUAUCUUUGCAUGGCUUUCUAGAUCCUUCUCAUUGAUAAAGUUUCUGUACCUGAGAAGUAUUUGGCAGAGCUGUCCUCAUGCACACAAACAGAGGAGUUGACUCUUAACCUCAGACGCUUGGGAUGGGAGUAGUCCGUGUCAGUUUGCAUGCCCUCCAAAGCAACUCAAGAGGUCAUUUAUGUAACCUGCAAAACUAAAUAUACAAUCUCCCUGGGGAGCUUUGAGGUGGAUUUAUUAAUUGGGUUCCAAAACUUUUGAGGUAGCUAUUUCUGAGGUAACAAGAUUUUUCUUCUUUCAUUGCUUUCCCACCCACGUCCAUGGCUGAAUUUAGAGCUGCCUUCCAUUCCUUUGGGAACUAGGAGUCACAAAAUAAAUCUUUUUCCUUCUCCCUUCCAAAAUUAAGAGAGAUAGCUUCUAUCUUCUCAUGUAAUCAACUUCAUUUCUUACUCCCUUUCUCUGCACUUCAUAUGAUGAAUUAUCACUUAGUACUCUUCGUACAGAUACAUUUAUUGUUUACCACUACCUCUCACAUAACAGAGACACUUCAUUUGCUGGAAGACCAAAGCUGUAACUCAGUAGUGUAAGAGAAGGUCUUCCCCUUGAGAUGUUUCAUCCUGGGCUUACAAUCACUGAACAGUUACAUCAAACAGUUCAGUUUCUGCAUGAGAGCAGGGAUUUCAACUGCUAAUCUGAAUGUAGUGGUUACAUUCCCACCAGUGUCAUAGUGCUUACAUUAUACCUCAAGUCUCAGGGACCUUAUGUGUGCCUGUCUGGCUGGCCAGCCCAAGGCUGCACAUGACAAUCCUGGAAAGAACUUCUGAAAGUAAUAUGUAGGCUUUUUGUCAUUUAAAGCUAUGAAGAAUCUGAAGGAAACACCCUGAUGAACAUCAUCGGGACAGUCCUGACUUCUCAAAGGAAAAAGCCCUCUUUCUGGGCAAAUAACAUGUACAAAUAGAUUUACCAAUUAAUGCUUUUAUUUCCAAGAACUCAUAAAAUCUCAGAUUACUCUUGAGAGUAAUAAAUACUUCAAUAAUGCUGUUCUUGAUUACAGGCAAGAGCAUAACAGCUCUGACUGGUAGUGAUUUCAUAAUUAUGUUUGAUUACAGGCAUGUUUCUAUUGUACUGAUGCAGAGGGGUUAUUUGUUUCCUUCUAUCAGUCUCCUGGAUUCCGCCGGAGACCAAGAGCACACUGUCAGCACACACGGCUUACAAAGCUACUCUCCUCAAAGCCCUGUCACUAAGGCACAGCCAUUAGUAAGGACCUCUGCUAGCUAGGCCAGCAAAACUUCACAGAAUUGUGAUUAAAACUCUAUGUAAUUACAUCAGUGGAGGCCACUUUCUAAAGGAAUCCUGAAUAUGUGCAACUCUUUAGGGCUCUGUCUUGCGUAUAAAAUUUUCCUUCACAGUAUGAGGGCCAAAGUUACUCAUACCUUCACGUUAUUACCAUUACAGCAAGAACCAGCAUGACAAAUUAGAAAUAAAGAAAAACUAUAUCCAUAAUAUUGUCUCCACUUCCUACUAUUACAGAGAAAAAGGGAAAAGCUGUAUUAAGCCAAUUAGCCCUCUCUCUGUCAAUGAGCAACAUCAACAGGAAAAUCAUGCCUUACAAUUUAUUCUCUGGUGCUUUGUUUAUUUGGUAUUAAAUGACUCAUGGAAUAUGGUUUCCACCUCUCCCCUAGGGAGAUUAUCCCAGCUGCUGAAACUUAGUAGCAGUUCCCUUUCUUUUGUCUCACUUUUAACGAUCCUUAAGUUUUUCGUUCUAUUUUAGGUUGUGAGGUAAAAGCUACAAGGGAAACUCAUCUACCCAAGCCUGCUUUUAUAAGCAGCUAAGGCUGUGACAGAAACACAUAAACUCAAGGAAACAUGCAGUCAAAAAAGAAACGCAUCGUUUGUUUCACUGAUACUAUGCCACCUCAGUGGCACACUUUCAAGCUAAAUACUGCAGUAUCUACGUGACAAGAGAAUACUUUCCUGCUUUGAAAAUGUAGUGACAGCAUCUUCAUUUCCCAGCCGUGGUUUUGCAGUAUACUGUGUCACUUCAUAGCAUUCCACCUGGCUGUAAAGGAAUGGUGAUGACAAGGGGCUUUCCAAAGAAAAUUCUGUGCUGCUUGUUGUGCCCAUGGAGAAAGACGAAAGUGAACAAGGCUUCGUCGGUGAGAAAAUUAAAGGAGGAUAAAUAGAGAGGUAGAAGAAAUCCAGAGGGCAGAGCUGCAGGCCAGAGGCAGCCCAGCUUCUCACAGUGUGCAGUCUGACAUUCUUGACUUGUGCAUUACAUGUACCAAUGGACAGAAAGAAAGCCUUAAAAAUAAACCAGGAAGAAGGAUCGGUGAUUCUAGCUGUGAGUUGAAUGUCAGCCUUUGUGUUAAACUAAAUGCACAAGGAAUACAUAAUUCAGAAUUCCCCA